UAGCUCGGGUUUCUCUUCAUUCACGCACAAAUCUUUCGCCUUUUACUAAAGAUUUCCACGGAGAGGAACGUCGAUGAGUUCAGCAUAUUUUUGUGGGCUUUGCAGUUGCAAGGCU